GCUUCCGUGGCGCAAUGGUAGCGCGUCAGACUUCUACGAGUCGGAUUAUUGAGCACGCUUAACUAAGACAAGCAGAUCUGAAGGCUGCGGGUUCGAGCCCCGCCGGAAGUG